CAAUAGCGUAUAUUAAAGUUGUUGCAGUUAGAAAGCUCGUAGUUGGAUUUCGGGGCAGCCUGGCUGGUCCGCCGCAAGGCGAGUACUGGUCAGCCGCCCUUCCUCUCGAAAGCCCCGACUGCUCUUCGUUGCAGUGGUCGGGUAGUUCGGGACGUUUACUUUGAAAAAAUUAGAGUGUUCAAGGCAGGCCUACGCCUGAAUACAUUAGCAUGGAAUAAUGGAAGAGGACCUCGGUCCUAUUUUGUUGGUUUCCAGGGCCGAAGUAAUGAUUAAGAGGGACAGUUGGGGGCAUUCGUAUUUAAUUGUCAGAGGUGAAAUUCUCGGAUUUAUGAAAGACGAACAACUGCGAAAGCAUUUGCCAAGGAUGUUUUCAUUAA
rnacentral:rRNA from 1 species